GACGAACCGAGCGAACGUUGUUCGGAAUCACUGGGCUUAAAGGGCGCGUAGGCGGGUGCUCAAGUCCGUGGUGAAAUCCUCCGGCUCAACCGGAGAACUGCCUCGGAUACUGGGCGUCUCGAGUGUGGUAGGGGUAUGCGGAACUAUCGGUGGAGCGGUGAAAUGCGUUGAUAUCGAUAGGAACUCCGGUGGCGAAGGCGGCAUACUGGACCACCACUGACGCUGAUGCGCGAAAGCGUGGGUAGCAAACAGG
rnacentral:rRNA from 1 species